CAUCACGACGAAGGUCCAUUUUUCACCACGGACCGCAGAGGGUGGAAGCCGAUUGCUGUUCACACUGCAUCCUGUUCUCGCCUCGAGACACAUGACUUCCAGCAUAGAGUCCCAAGGCAAGGUGAACGUGCGGGUAAAGUGUCAAGCGAGACGACUAUCCCCAUGCGACUCAAACGAUCGGGUCGGCAUUGUCUGCUUCCACGAGCUUCCGGCUCCUUAGAUGGUCUCGCCCGAAGCCCUUGGACAGCCUCUGACUAUAUAGAGAGGCUCUGCUUCGUUUCAAAGCUGCAUGGUCCCUCUUUCACGUGGUAAACAGCAGCCGGGUACCAUCCACUGCAUCCAUGACAAACCACCGUCCCGCUCCACGCCAUUGAUGUUACGUUCUGAAACAGUUCGGUUGUCGAUGGUCAGUGAUCAUGACACAAAGGGUUGGCAUUCUCGUAACAGCGACGAUUUGCGGGACAGUUGUUAAGGACCGCCCUUAGAAAAAUGCUCCUCGUUCCUUCAUCCUUGUCUACACCCACCGUUACACAAGUAUCGGAUUCUGCAGCUGGCAUACAAUAUUGACCGACCGUUUUUGAAGAUACAUCGGCUGCACAUGCCGAGUCAUAUUAACAGGCUGCUUAAGGUGCAUCAAGAUCGCAUCCGAAUUCUUGACGCUUCUUAUCUCGUCGACUAUACUCCUCUGCUGAUGUGGUCCAUCGAUCUGCAGGAACAUGGUCGAGCUCAAGUAGAAUAAAUAAAAAUGUGCAACGAACAUUGAUCAGUCCUAAGCGUUUGAGUACAAUAACCGAGAUAUCUAAUUAGUCUUUGGGUCUGGCAUAUUGUUACCCUCAUAAGUAGCUUCCGUCCGGCUUGCACAUCGAGUGAAGCGACCAGCCUGCCCAUCGCGGUCCAUGGCGCAGUAGCGACUUGUCAGAAGCCAACUUGGCUCAAGCAGAACAGCCGAGCACUGGUACCGGCCAUCGGCAAAAACGGCAGCGUGCCAUGGCCAUAGAUAAGUGUCCUCCUCCUGGCCGUCGAUGCCUUUCAGUCGCUUCAGUCAGCUCGCGCUGUCCAGCACCAAAUGCAGUAACUAACCGGAGAAAUUCAAAGAGCGAAACUACAGCGAUCAGAUUUCAAACAAGUCAGCAAUUACUCGGAGGUCAUAGACAGCGGAAUUCCAACACAGGGUACGAGUUGGAUGUAGUAUAUUUUAAAGUAGGUAGGUGUUACCGCGAGCCUCCGAGAGAGUAGAAUUUUGCGUAAUAUCACAGCGUGAUAUUUGUGCAUGCCAUUAGUAAUUUGACGCUGUGUCUUAAUAAAGCAAUACUAACAGGCUUGCAUACUCUUAAUAAAAACCUAAGACGUAUACAUAUUUCGGAUACGUCGGAAUAUUUGUCAACUUCAAAUUGUACAUUACACGAUUAUUUUUAAUAUUUUUCGAGAUACAUGACGCUUCUACCUCGACGGCAGAUCGUACAGCGCGGCAAUGUACAAAAUAUGAGGCUAACAGCAGCGCAUGGUGGUGCUCAUGAAGGCGAAUAGAACAAUUUCGAAUGUGAAGAGUCAACUUAUUGGUACUGGAGAAGCAGGCUAAGAACGUUCAAGUGAUGGUGAGAAUUCCGCCUGUCGAUACAAAUAGGGAAACCACAGCAUCCAGAGAAUGACGAAUUGUGAGAGUGAAUUAUUGAUAUAGAUACUAAUGAAUCCAAUGUAAUUGUCAAGUGAUUUGAUUUCUAUGUGAAUCUUGU
rnacentral:lncRNA from 1 species